UCACCAGGCAGAAACUAUUCCUCAAGGGCUAUAUGACGUCGGUAGGAAGGCAGUUCAAAACAUCGCAGGGAAGUGAGAGAGAGGGGAAAAAAAAAAAAAAAGACCCAGCGCCCAGCCCAGCGGGUCUAGUCAAUUGCUGAAAUUUACAAAGCUUCUUUGCAGAUCAGCGCCAGAGAGGAGGAGUGUAAACCAGCCAAACAGACAGAAGACAUCUCGAAACUUAUUUCCUCCUUUGAGAAAUGAGGUGUCUCUUGUUAUUCAAGAAUAAAGAGAAGCCUUGAUUGCAAAUACUUUUAUAUACAGGCAGAUGAAUUACCUCAGUGUCUAUGACCUUCAUAGAGGUUUUACUUCUGGAGUAUCCUAGACCAGCCCUGCCUCUUCCGUUAUUUUGUGACACCAAAGAAGAGUUUAUUGGGACUUGGAAACUAAAUAAACAGGGAUUAAAGUGAGAAAAGUAGAGAAGACCCUGAUGCUGGGAAAGACUGAAGGCAAAAGGAGAAGACGGCAGGAGAAGAUGAGACGGUUGGAUAGCAUCACCCGUUCAAUGGA